rnacentral:lncRNA from 1 species
AAAUUUCAAAGAAAUUGGUGGAUUGAUUUUAACAAAAGCUUAAAAAUCUUUUGUUAUCAAAUGGAGAAUACUCACCCAAACAUCCACCAAUAAUGAGGGCUUUACAACAUUUAAGAGGGAAGGCUCCAACUUGAAUUCAAUCAACAAGUAUGGCACCAACCCCUAAUAAAUGGAACUACUUAUAAUCAAAAUAUCAUGG